AGGACGAACGCUGGCGGCGUGCUUAACACAUGCAAGUCGAACGGUGAAGCCUUUCGGGGUGGAUCAGUGGCGAACGGGUGAGUAACACGUGAGUAAUCUGCCCUUGACUCUGGGAUAACUUCGGGAAACCGUGGCUAAUACCGGAUAUGACGCAUGGUCGCAUGGUCUGUGUGUGGAAAGAUUUAUUGGUCAGGGAUGAGCUCGCGGCCUAUCAGCUUGUUGGUGGGGUAAUGGCCUACCAAGGCGACGACGGGUAGCCGGCCUGAGAGGGGCGAGUCGGACCGACGACUGGGACUGAGACACGGCCCAGACUCCUACGGGAGGCAGCAGUGGGGAAUACUGCGCAAUGGGCGAAGCCUGACGCAGCGACGCCGCGUGAGGGAUGAAGGCCUUCGGGUCGUAAACCUCUUUCAGCAGGGAAGAAGCUUUUGGGUGACGGUACCUGCAGAAGAAGCACCGGCUAACUACGUGCCAGCAGCCGCGGUAA
rnacentral:rRNA from 1 species